AGACGGAGACUUACUCUGUCACCCAGGCUGGAGUACAGUCACACUAUUUCGGCUCACUGAAGCCUCUGCCUCCCGGGUUCAAGCAAUUCUCCUGCCUCAGCCUCCCGAGUAGCUGGGAUUACAGGCAUGCGCCACCACGCCCGGCUAUCUUUUUAUAUUUUUGGUAGACAUGGGGUUUCACCACGUUGGCCAGGCAUGAUGGCACGUGCCUGUGGUCCCAGCUACUCGGGAGUGAGACUCUGUUUAAAACAAACAAACAAACAAACAAAAAAAAACAGAAUAGAAAAAAUUUAAAUGAUCCACUAAAAUGGCGUAAUGUCUUAAACCGGAAGCACAGAGAUAAUCUAUUCCACAUAGGUCAAAUAUCUGAUCCAAGAGGCAUAAACCAAAGGCAGUUUUAUCAGCUAAAUUUGCAGCAGUAAAGGAUAAUUUAGGGAAUGAUUUGAGAGAAUAUCCUACAUUUCUUCAUACAUCCCAACUGCCAUUUUCUAAUGGCAUGGGUUCCAUGAACAGGGAUGCAUAGAAGUCAUUCAAAGAUUUGUUGAAUGAUACUGAAUAUGAAUUUUGCAUGAAAUGGACAGAGAAAAGUAUCUUACAUUUGUCUGAGAACUACCUGUAAUUAAAAGUCAUUGAGAAACAAGGAGAAAGAGAACCAGUUUCUAUAUUACAGAAUUCAGAAAAAACAAACACCAA
ensembl:lncRNA novel transcript, antisense to DNAL1